GCCAGGCUCGGUGGUGUAUGCCUGUAGUCCCAGCUAUUCGGGAGGCUGAGGCUGAAGGAUCUCUUGAGUCCAGGAGUUCUGGGCUGUAGUGCACUAUGCUGAUCGGGUGUCCACACUAAGUUUGGCAUCAGUAUGGUGAUGUGCUGGGAGCAGGGACCACCAGGUUGCCUAAGGAAGGGUGAACCAGCCCAGGUCGGAAACGGAGCAGGUCAAAACUCCGGUGCUGAUCAGUAGUGGGACUGCGCCUGUGAAUAGCCACUGCACUCCAGCUUGGGCAACAUAGUGAGACCCCUUCUUA
rnacentral:SRP_RNA from 1 species